UCAGGAACCAGCAUUUUGUUCCAUCUCCCCCACUCAAAUGUGAUCUCUCCAUCAGCCUCAAGGCCCUUGUGCACAGCAAUUCCACGCCUAGUGCCCAGCAAGAAGAGAAGCCUCUUGGCAGCAUCAGCAAAUCUCCAGCCCAAGGAAGCCUUCCCUUGUAGCAGCAGGGGCAUCAGAUCGUCUCCAGCGGUAGCAAGCAGUGCUGCAACCCUUCCAAUUC
rnacentral:lncRNA from 1 species